rnacentral:rRNA from 1 species
AUACGGAGGGUGCAAGCGUUACUUGGAAUCACUGGGCGUAAAGCGCAUGCAGGCGGUCUAAUAAGUUGGAAGUGAAAGCCUAUGGCUCAACCAUAGAACUGCUUCCAAAACUGUUAGACUAGAGUCUGGGAGGGGAAGAUGGAAUUAGUAGUGUAGGGGUAAAAUCCGUAGAGAUUACUAGGAAUACCAAAAGCGAAGGCGAUCUUCUGGAACAGUACUGACGCUGAGAUGCGAAAGCGUGGGGAGCAAACAGGAUUAGAUACCCUAGUAGUCC